CCUACGGGGGGCAGCAGUGGGGAAUAUUGCACAAUGGGGGAAACCCUGAUGCAGCGACGCCGCGUGAGUGAAGAAGUAUCUCGGUACGUAAAGCUCUAUCAGCAGGGAAGAAAAUGACGGUACCUGACUAAGAAGCCGCGGCUAACUACGUGCCAGCAGCCGCGGUAAUACGUAGGGGGCAAGCGUUAUCCGGAUUUACUGGGUGUAAAGGGAGCGUAGACGGCAGCACAAGUCUGGAGUGAAAUCCCGGGGCCUAACCCCGGAACUGCUUUGGAAACUGUGCGGCUGGAGUGCAGGAGGGGUAAGCGGAAUUCGUAGUGUAGCGGUGAAAUGCGUAGAUAUUAGGAGGAACACCGGUGGCGAAGGCGGCUUACUGGACUGUAACUGACGUUGAGGCUCGAAAGCGUGGGGAGCAAACAGGAUUAGAUACCCUAGUAGUC
rnacentral:rRNA from 1 species